ACCUAAACCCGACAGCAGCGAAAAUCCUUUUUGUUUGCAGCAGCCUUAAAUGGCCUUUCAUCUGCAGCCUAUGAAACAGAUCCUUCGUACCUCAGGAUGACAGGACCACAAAAAGAUUGCAGCGUAUGGCGGGACUACCG
rnacentral:sRNA from 1 species